CUUGGUCAUUUAGAGGAAGUAAAAGUCGUAACAAGGUUUUCGUAGGUGAACCUGCGUAAGGAUCAUUAACGAGCAAAAGCCAAAUACUUGGCUUUGUUCAAGCAAUGUUCAAGUCCUUGGGACCAUUGGUUUGGCUCAGGGCGGCUUUAUAACUUAAAGCGACAACUGGCGACUAGCCUAGCUAGAGUUGACUGCAGUGAGUUGACUUGGAGCAGCUGCGCUGUUAGUGUUCCAGUGUUUUCAAUGGCUGGGUGCCCAAUCCUUGCACUUUUUAUGCUAGGGCUGCAUCUUCUGGGAAUGCAGUGGGCCGUGAGGUUGGCGUUCACUGGCGUUGACGCCCAGUCAAAGCUCUUUUGAGCUUGUUUGUUUUAACUUGAUUCUUUGAAUCUGUUGCAAUGUCAAAAAUUAAAUAAUACUGAGAGAAUCACUCUGAGCGGUGGAUCACUCGGCUCGCGGAUCGAUGAAGAGCGCAGCAAAGCGCGUUAGCUACUGCGAACUGCAGGAUUACUUGAGCAGCAAGAGCUUGAACGCAAAUUGCGGCUCUGGGUACUCCCAGAGUCACGUUCGCUUGAGGGUCGAAAUAAAACACAAACCAACGCUUGUGUUGGUGCAAUGGCUUUGCAGUAAAACUGCUAGCUUAAUGAAUAACUCGGGCACUCAGGCAACUGCACAGUAACUUGUGCUUUAACCUAGUCCCAACUAUGCUUUCUUAGUGUCGACCUCAGACGAGCGAGAUUGCCCGCUGAAUUUAAGCAUAUCACUAAGCGGAGAAAGAGACAAUAACUAUGAUUUCCACAGUAACGGCGAGUGAAGUGGAAUCAGCUCAUUGCCGAAUUCCGCUGUUAAACAGCAGCUGGAAGUUGUGGCGUUUGGAACUGCCGCCAGUAGUCGACAGCCUGGCAACGCGACCCCUCUUGAUUGUGGUUUGCCCAGAGCUGGUGAAAGGCCAAUAGGCGUAGCCUUGGUUGUCGGCGAUGGCAGUCCUAAGAGUCGGGUUGUUUGGGAUUGCAGCCCGAAGCAGGUGGUAAACUCCACCUAAAGCUAAAUACCGCCGCGAGUCCGAUAGAGCACAAGUACCGUGAGGGACAGUUGAAAAGAACUUUGAAGAGAGAGUUCAAAGUACGUGAAACCGUUCAGAGGCAAACAGGUGGAAGGUCGAAUCAAGGUUGGCAGUCAGGCUAAGGUGGUUUGGCUCGGCUAGUUCUUUUGGGCUGGUUGAAGCUAGGCUACUUUGGCUGUAUUUGCUGGCUUUGUUUCGCCGUGGCAGCCGUCUCGGAAGCACACUGGCUCCUCUGGUUAGCAGCAAUCCUUUUGGGUUGUUUUAAAUGCUGGCACAAGGGCUAAGUGGCGCUUUGGCAAGAGACGGCUGGGAUAUUAUGGCUUUGGCUCUAUGCUAUUGCUUCGUUUGGUUGUAGGCUGUUGGCUGGCGCUGUGUCACUGGCAAAGUCCAGCUGCAUAGUGUCAGCACCGGCGGCUGCAGUUGAUCGUGAGCAAAGCUUUGUUGGCGGCGUUGACAACGAGGCUUCUACCUGACCCGUCUUGAAACACGGACC
rnacentral:rRNA from 1 species